UACGUAGGUGGCGAGCGUUGUCCGGAAUUACUGGGCGUAAAGCGUGCGCAGGCGGUUCGGAAAGAAAGAUGUGAAAUCCCAGAGCUUAACUUUGGAACUGCAUUUUUAACUACCGGGCUAGAGUGUGUCAGAGGGAGGUGGAAUUCCGCGUGUAGCAGUGAAAUGCGUAGAUAUGCGGAGGAACACCGAUGGCGAAGGCAGCCUCCUGGGAUAACACUGACGCUCAUGCACGAAAGCGUGGGGAGCAAACAGGAUUAGAUACCCUGGUAGUCCACGCCCUAAACGAUGUCAACUAGCUGUUGGGGCCUUCGGGCCUUGGUAGCGCAGCUAACGCGUGAAGUUGACCGCCUGGGGAGUACGGUCGCAAGAUUAAA
rnacentral:rRNA from 1 species